AACGAACGCUGGCGGCGUGGCUAAGACAUGCAAGUCGUACGGUAUGUUGUAGCAAUAUGACAUACAGUGGCGGACGGGUGAGUAAUGAAUGGGUAAUGUACCUUGGACACAGGGAUAGCGUCGGGACCCGCAAGGGUUCCUUUGCGAAAGUGACGGUAAUACCUGAUGAAGCCGUUGGGAGGAUGCUCCCGACGUUCAAAGGGCGGGGACCUUCGGGCCUGCCGGUCUGAGAUCAGCCCACUUUCCUUAUCAGCUUGUUGGUGAGGUAACGGCUCACCAAGGCAACGACGGGUAGCCGGUCUGAGAGGAUGGUCGGCCGACAUCGGGACUNAGACACUGCCCGGACACCUACGGGUGGCUGCAGUAACGAAUAAU
rnacentral:rRNA from 1 species